rnacentral:rRNA from 1 species
GACGAACCGUGCGAACGUUGUUCGGAUUCACUGGGCUUAAAGGGCGCGUAGGCGGAUGGCCAAGUCAAGGGCGAAAGCCCCCGGCCCAACCGGGGAAGUGCCUCUGAUACUGGUCAUCUCGAGCGGGAUAGGGGCAGCUGGAACUUCCGGUGGAGCGGUGAAAUGCGUAGAUAUCGGAAGGAACGCCGGUGGCGAAAGCGAGCUGCUGGAUCCCUCCUGACGCUGAGGCGCGAAAGCCAGGGGAGCGAACGGG